UUGGGGUGCAGGUGGCGACGCAUCCCCGCGCCCCGGCCGAACCGAGACGCCAAGGAUGACCGCGCAACCGAUGGUGGUGUUUUGUAUUCAACGUCUCCUAAUCGCUGGUCGGCAUCGUUUAUGGUUAAGACUACGACGGUAUCUGAUCGUCUUCGAUCCCCUAACUUUCGUUCUUGAUUAAUGAAAACAUCCUUGGCAGAUGCUUUCGCAGAAGUUAAUCUUUCAUAAAUCCAAGAAUUUCACCUCUGACAAUUAAAUAUUAAUGCCCCCAACUAUCCCUAUUAAUCAUUACCCUAGUCCUCGCGCUGCCAAAACCAACUGAAAAUAGGAGGACAGGGUCCUAUUCCAUUAUCCCAUGCUAAUGUAUUCGGUGGCAGAAAAUUGGAUCUGCCUGCUUUGAACACUCUAAUUUUUUCACGGUAAACGAUCUGGGCCA
rnacentral:rRNA from 1 species